rnacentral:lncRNA from 1 species
CAAAUAAAUGUUCACAGCUCAAGGUUAAGAAUCCAAAAUUUGAUAAGUACUGUUUUGUACUUUGACACCCUAAAAAAAUCAUUGUAACUCUAACAAUAACUGUUAAUGACAAUCUACUUCAAACGUUAGCAUUUUUGAUUCCCUUGAUUGGCAGAGCUUCCCCACGAUGGGUGGUUCAUUCCUCCCAGUCAUUGGAAAAGGUAGAUGCUGUUGCUUCCCCACGAACAGUUCUGGGUGAGAAAUGCUUGUAUGCUUCCUUAAAUAUUGAUGUUAAGUAUUGUCCUGUAACAAGUUCAGAACCCAGUGAUGCUGAGAGUACCUC